rnacentral:tRNA from 1 species
GCGGUUGUGGCGGAAUGGCAGACGCGCUAGGUUGAGGGCCUAGUGGGGUUAAACCCGUGGAGGUUCGAGUCCUCUCAACCGCA